rnacentral:rRNA from 1 species
UACGGAGGGGGCUAGCGUUGUUCGGAAUUACUGGGCGUAAAGCGCACGUAGGCGGGUAUUUAAGUCGGGGGUGAAAUCCCGGGGCUCAACCCCGGAACUGCCUUCGAUACUGGAUACCUAGAGGUCGAGAGAGGUGAGUGGAAUGGCGAGUGUAGAGGUGAAAUUCGUAGAUAUUCGCCGGAACACCAGUGGCGAAGGCGGCUCACUGGCUCGAUACUGACGCUGAGGUGCGAAAGCGUGGGGAGCAAACAGG